rnacentral:rRNA from 1 species
UACGUAGGGUGCGAGCGUUAAUCGGAAUUACUGGGCGUAAAGCGUGCGCAGGCGGUUUUGUAAGACAGAGGUGAAAUCCCCGGGCUUAACCUGGGAAUGGCCAUGGAAACUGGCGAACUGGAGUGUGGCAGAGGGGGGUGGAAUUCCGCGUGUAGCAGUGAAAUGCGUAGAUAUGCGGAGGAACACCGAUGGCGAAGGCAGUCCCCUGGGCCUGUACUGACGCUCAUGCACGAAAGCGUGGGGAGCAAACAGG